UGUGCUUAUUGUCAUUUUAAAGGCGUGUACAUUCAAUAAAUGACCACUACAUGUGACUGUAAAAAUUAAAUGUGGAUCUUUCAUUGUAGGUCCAUUUCAUUAACCUGCUCUCCUAUCCCCUGUACCUUUCUUCAGUGUCUUUCUGUCCAAUGAGCUCCCCUCAGUGUUGGACCACUGGGACCUGCUUGUUUGUUUCCCUUUAACGCCAUCAUCAUUCUCUACCUCCUUUGAACCAGCUCAGAUAACAUCUACUUCCUACACCACUACAGGCCCUGGAGCCCAGUGGCACCAAACUCACUGCAUUAGUGGUGAUGCAUGGCAUCCCUCUUGGUGUGGGUCAGCUCUUUGCCUGUGAAGUCCUGGGGCUCUCCUUCCUUAUUCUGGGAACUGUGCUGCUCUAGUCUCCUCUGCUUGCCACUCAUGCUGUACUGGGAUCAGCGGUCAGAGCACUUGCUGGCUUCCUCUCUGCAUAUGUCAACAUUGCUCUGAGCAGUCUGCUGGGAACUGUGAGCGCAAUUUACACUAAGUAUGUAUGGAGCUGCAACACUGAGAUGGUCUUGAUGUGGGUCUCCCAGCAUGCAGUUGGGCAUCUAUUUUAACAACCACACUGAUGCUGCUGCUGACUGGCAGGUUAUGGCCCCUGAACACAACUUGUGAUCUUGCAGCCAGUAGAAAGCUAGGAACACCCCAGGUAAGGGGAGCACCAUUGUCUAGCAUGGGGUAGCACGC